GCCUGGAUGGCCGAGCGGUCUAAGGCGGCAGACUUAAGUUCUGUUAUCUUCGGAUGCGUGGGUUCGAAUCCCACUUCAGGCA
rnacentral:tRNA from 1 species